GGCAGAGCAAGUACAGAAUGCAGAUCUCUGAUAUGCAGACUAAGGUGGAAGCAGUAAGUGAGGAAGAUCUAUUGCGGUAUUCAUCCCUUCUGCUGUGUAAGAGACAAAAUCUGAAAUCAGUGUAUUUCUUCAUAUUCUGAUACUGCCCUGAUGAGGCCAGUAUUUUGUCAAGGAAAAUUAAAACAUUUAAGAAGAAAAAAGACCUGCAUUGAUGAUUUUAAAGCUAAGGAAAAUCGAGCUUAUUUAUAUCCCAGUAAACACACGAUGGCAGGCAACUCAUCAUGGCCCAGUUUGCUGAGCUGCUUUUCACCGCUGUAACUUCUUCAAGUGGUUUUCUCCAUUGCAAAAGAGGAGGGGCUCCUGCGUAGUGAGCUGAAGUGAUGGACCGCCAGCUUCAGAGGGAGACACGUGAAAGAGGCGAGGACUU